AUUGAACGCUGGCGGCAGGCCUAACACAUGCAAGUCGAGCGGAGCGGCGGACGGGUGAGUAAUGCCUAGGAAUCUGCCUGGUAGUGGGGGAUAACGUCCGGAAACGGGCGCUAAUACCGCAUACUAUCAGAUGAGUCUAGGUGGGCUUAGCUAGUUGGUGGGGUAAGGGCCUAGCAAGGCGACGAUCCGUAACUGGUCGGAGAGGAUGAUCAGUCACACUGGAACUGGGACAGGGUCCAGACCCCAACGGAGGGAAGCAGUGGGGAAUAUUGGAAAAUGGGCGAAGGCCUGAUCCGGCAUGCCGCGUGUGUGAAGAAGGUCUUCGGAUUGUAAAGCACUUUAAGUUGGGAGGCGUUACCAACAGAAUAAGCACCGGCUAACUUCGUGCCAGCAGCCGCGGUAAUUC
rnacentral:rRNA from 1 species